CCGGUCGGGCUCGGUCGGGCGGCCGCGGCCAUGACGCAGGGUCCGGGCGGGCGGGCGGCCCCUGCGCCCCCCGCACCCCCGGAGCCUGAGGCGCCCACCACCUUCUGCGCGCUGCUGCCGCGCAUGCCGCAGUGGAAGUUCGCGGCCCCAGCCGGCUUCCUGGGCCGGGGCCCGGCGGCGGCGCGGGCGGCGGGGGGCGCGGGGGCGGCGGGGGAGGCCGAGUCCGAGCCCGAGCCGGCCGGCUCGGCCGGCGUCCCGGCGCUGGCGGCGGCGGUCCUGGGCGCCUGCGAGCCGCGCUGCGCCGCGCCCUGCCCCCUGCCUGCGCUCAGCCGCUGCCGGGCCGCCGGGGCGCGGGGGUCGCGGGGCGCGCGGGGGGUGGCCGGGCCCCCGGACGCCGCCGCCGACGAGUGGAUCCGCAAAGGCAACUUCAUCCACAAGCCGGCGCACGGCUGGCUACACCCGGACGCCAGGGUCCUGGGGCCCGGGGUCUCCUACAUCGUUCGGUACAUGGGCUGCAUCGAAGUCCUCCGCUCAAUGCGCUCCCUGGACUUCAGCACUCGCACCCAGGUCACCAGGGAAGCCAUCAACCGGCUCCAUGAGGCCGUGCCUGGCAUCCGGGGCUCCUGGAAGAAGAAGGCCCCCAACAAGGCUCUGGCCUCCAUCCUGGGCAAGAGCAACCUGCGCUUCGCGGGCAUGAGCGUCGCUGUCAGCAUCUCCAUCGACGGCCUCAACCUCUCCGUUCCCGCCACGCGCCAGCGGCAGCCCCGUGACUGGUGGUCUCUCUUCGGCCAGAUCAUCGCCAACCACCACAUGCAGUCCAUCUCCUUUGCGUCGGGUGGUGACACGGACAUGGCGGAUUAUGUGGCCUACGUGGCCAAGGACCCCAUCAACCAGAGAGGUGAGGCCCGGUGGGGGCGGGUGGGGCCCUCGGGCUGGAGCGCGUCAGCCAGCCGAGGCCCCCCUGAUGCUGCGCCACGACCCCCAGCCUGCCACAUCCUGGAGUGCUGCGAGGGCCUCGCCCAGAGCGUCAUCAGCACCGUGGGCCAAGCCUUCGAGCUGCGCUUCAAACAGUACCUGCACAGCCCCCCCAGGGUUGUCGUCCCCCCGGGAAGGCUGACCGGGCCGGAGGAUUCGGCCUGGGGGGACGAGGACGAGACAGAACACAACUACUACAACCGCACUCCCGGGAAGGAGCCGCCCCUGGGCGGGCUGGUGGACUCCAGGCUCACCCCCGCGCAGCAGACCUGUGCCCUCGGGGCCCUUGGCCAGGGAGCAUCUCCUGCUCGAAGAGAUGCCCGAGGCCCGCAGUGGGACGUGGGCCCCUCAGCCCCGCCCGGGGAUGGCUACGUGCAGGCAGACGCCCGGGGCCCGCGAGACUACGAGGACCACCUGUACGUCAACACGCAGGGUCUGGACGGCCCGGAGCCCCUGCAGCCUGAGGACAGCCCCAAGAAGGACCUGUUCGACAUGAGAGGCAGCUGCCCCCCGCCUCCCGCAGGGUCUUCGCCCACAGGACCCUUCGAGGAUGCCCUGAGGCUGCACGAGUGCUCCGUGGCCGCGGGUCCGGCGGCAGCCCCCCUUCCCGUGGAGGACCAGUGGCCCAGCCCGCCGACCCGCCGGGCCCCCAUCGCCCCCACGGAGGAGCAGCUGCGGCAGGAGCCCUGGUACCACGGCCAGAUGAGCCGUCGGGCGGCGGAGAAACUGCUUCGAGUGGACGGGGACUUUCUUGUGCGGGACAGCGUCACCAACCCCGGGCAGUACGUCCUCACCGGCAUGCACGCAGGGCAGCCCAAGCACCUGCUGCUCGUGGACCCCGAAGGCGUGGUAAGGUGCGGACGAAGGACGUGCUCUUCGAGAGCAUCAGCCACCUGAUCGACUACCACCUGCAGAACGGGCAGCCCAUCGUGGCUGCCGAGAGCGAGCUCCACCUGCGUGGUGUCGUCAAGCGGGAACCCUGAGCCAGGUUGUGGUUCUCAGCCUGUGGCUCCUGUCCCCGCUCCCCCCGGAUGGCCCUGUUGUGGCCUAAGGGGCCCUCAGCCUUUCUCUGGACCCUGGUCGGGCCGGAAUCGCCGCUGUCUCUCCUUCCUCCGCGUGGGUCUCUGGAAUCUUCCUUCUCCAGCUGGCCCUGGGCUGGGCUGGGUCAACCCCGCCAGGAGACGGGGCCCACGACCCCUUUCUCCCACCGGGCCCUCUGCCUGCCGCCAGCCUUCACCUGGAGUGAGGGCACACAUACCAAAGACAGAGCCUUUUCUCGCCUUUAAAGAAAAUAUAUCAAAAAGCAGCCAUCUAUCUCGGAGCCCUGGCCCAGGUUCCUGAUGGGGCAAGGAGGAGUUUCCUUUCCCGGCUGGACGUCAGCUCACCUCCCUGGAACCAGCGGGUCCCCAGUUCCCUGGCAUGGAGAUGGAUUCCUGUCCUGGCCGGGCUCAGAUUUUCCACCUGAAAAAUUAGUGCACAGUUGUCUUUUGGGGGGAGAAUCGAGGUGCUUUGGGCCCUCAGGCCAGGGCAAAUGCUGAUGUUGAAGUGGGGGGCAGCCUUGGGAUGAUGCGGGGUAUCCAGGCAACCCCAAGACAACUGACCCUGGUGGGGGUGGUUGUGAGGCCCCCGCCCUCCCAGCUGUCAACCUGCACUGGACACUUGGACUCUGUUUGUAAUUAAACCUGGGAAUGACCACGGGGA